UACGGGGGGGGCAAGCGUUGUUCGGAAUUACUGGGCGUAAAGGGCUCGUAGGCGGCCAACUAAGUCAGACGUGAAAUCCCUCGGCUUAACCGGGGAACUGCGUCUGAUACUGGAUGGCUUGAGUUUGGGAGAGGGAUGCGGAAUUCCAGGUGUAGCGGUGAAAUGCGUAGAUAUCUGGAGGAACACCGGUGGCGAAGGCGGCAUCCUGGACCACUACUGACGCUGAGGAACGAAAGCUAGGGGAGCAAACAGG
rnacentral:rRNA from 1 species